GACGUAGGGCGCGAGCGUUGUCCGGAUUUAUUGGGCGUAAAGAGCUCGUAGGCGGCUUGUUGCGUCGACUGUGAAAACCCGCGGCUUAACUGCGGGCUUGCAGUUGAUACGGGCAGGCUAGAGUUCGGUAGGGGAGACUGGAAUUCCUGGUGUAGCGGUGGAAUGCGCAGAUAUCAGGAGGAACACCGGUGGCGAAGGCGGGUCUCUGGGCAGUAACUGACGCUGAGGAGCGAAGGCGUGGGGAGCGAACAGG
rnacentral:rRNA from 1 species